rnacentral:rRNA from 1 species
CCUACGGGAGGCAGCAGUAAGGAAUAUUGGACAAUGGGCGAAAGCCUGAUCCAGCCAUGCCGCGUGAAGGAUUAAGGUCCUCUGGAUUGUAAACUUCUUUUAUGUGGGACGAAAAAAGGGCAUUCUUGCUCACUUGACGGUACCAUUUGAAUAAGCACCGGCUAACUCCGUGCCAGCAGCCGCGGUAAUACGGAGGGUGCAAGCGUUAUCCGGAUUCACUGGGUUUAAAGGGUGCGUAGGCGGGUAGGUAAGUCAGUGGUGAAAUCUCGAAGCUUAACUUCGAAACUGCCAUUGAUACUAUCUAUCUUGAAUAUUGUGGAGGUUUGCGGAAUAUGUCAUGUAGCGGUGAAAUGCUUAGAUAUGACAUAGAACACCGAUUGCGAAGGCAGCAGGCUACACAUAUAUUGACGCUGAGGCACGAAAGCGUGGGGAUCAAACAGGAUUAGAUACCCUGGUAGUCCACGCUCUAACGAUGAUUACUCGACAUACGCGAUACACUGUGUGUGUGUGAGAGAAGAGAUAAGUAAUACUUACGUUAGGUAAGUUACGUUCCGCGAGAGAGAACGACGAAGAAGUUAGAGGCGNGAGAGNGCGACGGACGACGACGAGGAGGUUAGG